rnacentral:lncRNA from 1 species
GUGAAUAUAAUUACAUACGGAAACAAAAUCUUAGACAAGUAGCUUUCUCAUCUCUCUUGUGUAUGUAAAUGUUAGUUCUGAGAUUUGAACUUAGGUUUGUCUGAAUCCAAAGCUCUGUGCGUUCAGUCUCUAUGUUUCCAGUGUAAAAUCUCUAUAACUUAUCAGUGGAAAAAAGGAAUGUGUACUCAGUACUUGAUAUUACCUAAUUUUAUCCAGGUCUCUUUUUGCUGCUACAUCCUCAGGAUAAUAAUUUGACCUUCCUCUUGAACUUUGGUUUUUUUUUUUUCAUGUAUUUUUAGAUUUCUGAAUUAACAGGAAAAAAAAAUUAGUACCAUUUUCUCUUAUUCACAGUUCUCAUUUUGUUCGUAUUUCCUCUUCUACCACCCAUCUCCCUAGGCAACAAAACAAACAAAGGAAAACCUUUUAUUUUCAAAAAAUUAAAACAAAAAAUUAAGAUUAAGAUUGAGAAAUAAAUGAGGAUUGCUUUUUCAGAUGCUUAUGCAAGUAACAAGAAAAACCAAAAGCAUCUCUCACUUAAAUUCUUACAUUUGUAUAUCAGCUGCUUGCUUCACUAGGAACCCUCUAUUUUAUGCUGACCCCGAAGAUCUCACAGUAUUUCCUCAACAGCCAUGUUGUCCUCCAUAGGAGAAGGCAAUGGCAACCCACUCCAGUAUUCUUGCCUGGAGAAUCCCAGUGAGGGGGGAGCCUGGUAGGCUGCCGUUUAUGGAGUCGCACAGAGUUGAACACAGCUAACAUGACUUAGCAGCAGGAAUGGCCAUGUUAUCAUCCAUAGGAAAAUAUUUUUCCGUAAAUACAGACAAUUGAAAAUAAUGAUGUUAUCAUUUAUGGCACUUGCUAUGUGUAUUGGUCGUAUGCAAAGGAUAGAAGAUGGAAAAGAUUAUCUGGUCAGUUUAGUUACUGCCAAACAUGAGAAAACCUUACUAUGGAGUUAAGGGAGUUAAUAACAUCAAAGGAACUUCU